rnacentral:misc_RNA from 1 species
UACCUGCUUUUAAAGUUUCAAGUUCUAGGCCAAAUGAUAGUCCUAUCAUUUAUAUUGCUGAUCUUAUAGAUGUGCACUCAAAUCAGUGGAAUCUGCAGUUAUUACAAGCCUCAUUCCCAGAGCAAGAUUGGAAGGAAAAAAUUAAAAUUCCACUAGCAGUCAAUCCUCAUGAACCAAAAAGAGUUUGGCACUAUACAUCUAACGGGGUCCCUACUGUGAGAUCCGUUUAUUUCUGGUUGAAAAAAUGGCAUCAUGAAGCAUCUCGGCAGUCAUCCCCAUCCUCUUCUAGGUUGGUAAAUCCACAGUUUUGGAAUAUGUUUUGGUCUCUUCCUUUGCCUCCAAAGGUUCGAGUGUUUCUGUGGAGAGCCUGUUCUAAUGCUUUGGCAACUAAAGUGAACUUGUUUCCCUUAUGUUCACUUUGUGGCAUGCAAGAGGAAACAGUAGAGCACCUGAUAUUUUUUUGUGACCAUGCUAGGGCUGUUUGGUUUGGUUCCAGUCUUGGAUUAAUUCCACAAUUACAGGGCUUUAGCUCUUUUACAGACUGGUGGCAACAUUUGUUUGAUGUUUUGUAUUCUAGGGAUUGCGAACAACUUAUUUUGGCAGGAUUGUUAUGUUGGAAUAUUUGAAAAGCGAGGAAUGUGGCUCUUUUUAAAUCUAUUAAGCCUAAUCCUUUGUUUCUCAUUACAAAGGCCCAGAAUGCCGUUGAUGAGAUGCUCUCUUUAGCUACCCAGCAACACCAUUCUGAGCAUAUCCCUAUUGAUGGUAGAAGGGCACCUUUUAAGUGGCAGCCCCCUCCUUUUGCUGUUCUGAAAUGCAAUGUAGAUGCUUCAUUUGUGAAGGAUUCUGCGAUAGCAGGGUAUGGUGUUAUUGUUUGUGAUCAUGUGGGGCAAUUUGUGGAUGGUUGUGCAGCUUCUUUCACUUGUGGUUCCCCUUUAGUAGUUGAGGGAAUUGCUUUGCGAGCAGCACUCCAAUUUGUUAUCUCUAGAAGAUACAAUCAGCUCUCAGCAGAAAACCAUCAUUAAUGCAAUGGCUAUCAAUGAGGAUGGUGUAAUGGUUACAGGAGGUGCGAAUUAUUUUAAUAUAAAUUAAUAAAUAAUUGGUUCAGUAUGAAUCAUCAUCUUAGUUCUACUGGUGUUGUAUGUCUUAAUGUGAUGAUUGGCAUCCACAGCUGACUGUGGGUUACAGGCUGGUAAAGUAAGGUUGAUAUGUAGCGUCAGCCCUAGCAGUGCGAUCAAUGGCCGUAAAAGCAUGAACUUGCCCCUCUAUACCUUAUUAACAACUGAAUCACUCAGUUGGGGUCUUGCUGGUCUGUACUGUCAAUUUUUAGGCUGAUCCAAAAAGAACAUUUGGCCUAAGUUUGUUUCAGUUUUGUUUGAUUGGACUGGAGGAGCAUAGAUAUAUUUUGACUUAGUAACUUUUUGCCAUUGUUUGCCCUUCGUGUUAUUUUAGGUGAUAAUGGGAGUAUAUGGUUCUGGGAUUGGAGGAGUGGUCAUAAUUUCCAGCAAGCACAAACGACUGUGCAGCCUGGCAUGCCCUUUUUCCCUCCCCAUCUUUACCCUUUUAUUUUACUGGGGAAUGAAAAGGUUGACAAUGAUGGGUAUUUUGCUCCAGGCUUAUUGGAUAGUGAAGCCAGUAUUUAUGCUCUCUCGUAUGAUAUAACUGGCUCAAGGCUUGUUACAUGCGAGGCUGACAAGACUACUAAAAUGUGGAAAGAAGAUGAAACUGCAACCCCAGAAACUCAUCCCCUCAACUUUAAGCCUCCAAAAGAUAUCAGGUGGUUCUAGCGGUCAUGGUGCUGCUUUUGUUUUUCGCAGGUUGGCAACAGAUCAUAUGAAUUCAUGGUAAAUGUAAUUGGGGGUUCAUUCGCAUCAGUGUACCAGAAUGAACACGGGGUUUAACACGACUUUCUCAACAUUGAUAGUGCAGUCUCAGAUCAAGUUCUUAAGCGUUCAAUCUUUUUUCUGUACAAGCACAUAGCAUGACCUAUCAAAUACGAAGCAUUUUGUGAUCUUGAAGCUAACGUUAAUUCUUACAUCACCUUGCAUGAAAGCCCAAAUUCAGGAACGAGAGAGCAUUAGUUGUUCCCAAGAAUUUCUGUAUUCGUAUAUUGAUGGAUCAAGUAAUGUGAUUAUUUGUAAUCCCUGUAUAUGAUAUUUAACUCGGUGGAUAGUCCAACUCAUACGGUGCUGCCUUCAACAUUUCUGCUUUGAGGACUUCACUCAUAGAAAAUGUCCAUGUAACCUUACCGAGCAAGUUCCAACAGAAAAGUUUAGAAAAACAAAUGAAGUAACUUCGGAAUGGAUUCGAAUCAUUAAAUAUGUAUGAUUAAUCGUUAAG